AGUGAACGCUGGCGGUAGGCCUAACACAUGCCAGUCGAACGGCAGCACAGUAAGAGCUUGCUCUUACGGGUGGCGAGUGGCGGACGGGUGAGGAAUACAUCGGAAUCUACUUUUUCGUGGGGGAUAACGUAGGGAAACUUACGCUAAUACCGCAUACGACCUACGGGUGAAAGCAGGGGAUCUUCGGACCUUGCGCGAUUGAAUGAGCCGAUGUCGGAUUAGCUAGUUGGCGGGGUAAAGGCCCACCAAGGCGACGAUCCGUAGCUGGUCUGAGAGGAUGAUCAGCCACACUGGAACUGAGACACGGUCCAGACUCCUACGGGAGGCAGCAGUGGGGAAUAUUGGACAAUGGGCGCAAGCCUGAUCCAGCCAUACCGCGUGGGUGAAGAAGGCCUUCGGGCUGUAAAGCCCUUUUGUUGGGAAAGAAAAGCAGCAGGUUAAUACCCCGCUGUUCUGACGGUACCCAAAGAAUAAGCACCGGCUAACUUCGUGC
rnacentral:rRNA from 1 species